rnacentral:rRNA from 1 species
UACGUAGGGUGCGAGCGUUGUCCGGAAUUACUGGGCGUAAAGAGCUCGUAGGUGGUUUGUCGCGUUGUCCGUGAAAACUCACAGCUCAACUGUGGGCGUGCGGGCGAUACGGGCAGACUGGAGUACUGCAGGGGAGACUGGAAUUCCUGGUGUAGCGGUGGAAUGCGCAGAUAUCAGGAGGAACACCGGUGGCGAAGGCGGGUCUCUGGGCCGAAAUUGACGCUGAGGAGCGAAAGCGUGGGGAGCAAACAGG